GUAUAGAUUUGGAAACAAUGAUAAAAAUUUGCGCGGUUACAAUUCCCCCCAAUCGAAAUUUUUUUGGCCUUUUUCUCUUUGUUUCCCCCGCAACAGACAUUCUCUCCUCAUCCGGCUCUGGAUAAACUGUCUCUCGCUCAAUUUACUCUCUCAGUGACACAUUUUUUCAACUUUAUUUUAGGUGUGUUCUUCAAUUUUAGACAUAUCGUCCUUCGAUUUGAGGCAUAUAUCGCUAAUUUGGGCUAAUUAAGAGGAUCUUCUCUAGGUGAUUAGGGUUUUUCGGCGAAGCUUGGAAUUGGGGCUUUCACAUGUAAAGAUUCUUUGACUGCCCAAGGAAAACGUCGUUACGAUGGAAACCUUUGUGAAUCUUUGCGAGCAGCAGAAUACUUCUGGUCAGCCUAUGGAUAAAAUUGCAUUAUUUCUUAAUGCAGUUGAAGGUCCAGACAAUUGAACAGGGUAUAUAGAGUUGGUUCAUCACAAGCAACUUCUAUCAGUCUGAAAUUAUGCCUUGCACUUCAACCGUUGUCAAUGAAGAAAAUGAGCAGCUGAAAUACAACUGAUAGAGAUGAAUGAGCGGAUGGAAGUGAUGGAAUAUCAAAUUGCCAGGUUCAUUCAGGCUAAUUCAGUUCGAGAUUCUCAGGGACCUGAUGUAGAUAGUCAAAAUGAUGAUAAUUAAGAUUUGUUUUAGUAACUACAGUGUGAGUUACAUUUAUGUAUGUCGCUUAUGACUUAAAACUAUUGCAUAUGACAUUAUAAAUGUUGAGAUUAUUAUAUAUAUUUUGUUGUUACUUCA